rnacentral:rRNA from 1 species
GUGCAGCAAUCGCGAAACCUUCGCAAUGCAGGAAACUGCGACGAGGGAACUCCAAGUGCCUACGCUCAGCGUAGGCUGUUCUCAAGCCUAGAAAGCUUGAGGAGUAAGGGCUGGGUAAGACGGGUGCCAUCUGUGGUAGCAGUCAAUAGAUUCGAUUUGUUACUGCAAGGCAUAAGCCGCCGCGGUAAUACCCCGCAGCCCAAGUGGUGGCCGCUUUUAUUGGGCCUAAGCGUCCGUAGCCGGCCCGGUAAAUGCCUGGGUAAAUCGUGGAGCCCAACUUCACGAAUUCCGGGUAGACUGCCGAGCUCGGGACCGAAGAGGGAGAGGGUACUUCGAGGGGUAGGGGUGAAAAGUUUCCUUUCCGAUUAACGCUUUUGCGCGAAGCGG